rnacentral:misc_RNA from 1 species
UUUCCGUAGGUGAACCUGCGGAAGGGUCAUUAACGAGUUAGGGUCUUCCAGGCCCGACCUCCCAACCCUAUGUUUAUUGAACCUCUGUUGCUUCGGCGGACCCGCCUCACGGCCGCCGGAGGACCGCUGCAAGGCGCCCUCUGGCCAGCGUCCGCCGAUGGCCAACCACUUAAACUCUGAAUGAAUCGUGUCAUAUGUCUAAGUCUAUGAUUAAAUUAAAGCAAAACUUUCAACAACGGAUCUCUUGGUUCUG